rnacentral:rRNA from 1 species
AGAGUUUGAUCCUGGCUCAGGAUGAACGCUGGCGGCGUGCCUAAUACAUGCAAGUCGAGCGAACUGAUUAGAAGCUUGCUUCUAUGACGUUAGCGGCGGACGGGUGAGUAACACGUGGGCAACCUGCCUGUAAGACUGGGAUAACUUCGGGAAACCGAAGCUAAUACCGGAUAGGAUCUUCUCCUUCAUGGGAGAUGAUUGAAAGAUGGUUUCGGCUAUCACUUACAGAUGGGCCCGCGGUGCAUUAGCUAGUUGGUGAGGUAACGGCUCACCAAGGCAACGAUGCAUAGCCGACCUGAGAGGGUGAUCGGCCACACUGGGACUGAGACACGGCCCAGACUCCUACGGGAGGCAGCAGUAGGGAAUCUUCCGCAAUGGACGAAAGUCUGACGGAGCAACGCCGCGUGAGUGAUGGAGGCGGGGCGGGGUCGUAAAACUCUGUUGUUAGGGAAGAACAAGUACGAGAGUAACUGCUCGUACCUUGACGGUACCUAACCAGAAAGCCACGGCUAACUACGUGCCAGCAGCCGCGGUAAUACGUAGUGGCAAGCGUUAUCCGGAAUUAUUGGGCGUAAAGCGCGCGCAGGCGGUUUCUUAAGUCUCGAUUCGAAAGCCCACGGCUCAAGUCACGUGAUGGUCAUUGGAAACUUGGGACCUUGAUGCAGAAGAAGGAAAAUGGAGUUCCACGUUGUAGCCGGUGAUAUGGCUUAAGAAGAAUGUUGGAGGAACACCCAAGUGGCGAGGCGGCUUUUUAGUCUUGUACUGACCGCUGAGGCCGCGAAGCGUGGCGGAGCAACAAGAUAAGAUAACCUUGGUUAGUCCACGCCGUAAACGAUGGAGGGCUAAGUGGUAAGAGGGUUCGGCCAUUUAGUGCCUGCGAGCCUAACGCAUUAAGCACUCCGCUGGGGAGUAUCCGGUCUGCAAGAACCCUCUGUGAAACUCAAAGGAAUGACGGGGGCCCGCACAAGCGGUGGAGCAUGUGGUUUAAUUUCGAAGCAACGCGAAGAACCUUACCAGGUCUUGACAUCCUCUGACAACUCUAGAGAUAGAGCGUUCCCUUCGGGGGACAGAGUGACAGGUGGUGCAUGGUUGUCGUCAGCUUGUGUCGUGCGAUCUCGGGGCUAAGUCCCGCAACGAGCGCAACCCUUGAUCUUAGUUGCCAGCAUUUAGUUGGGCACUCUAAGGUGACUGCCGGUGACAAACCGGAGGAAGGUGGGGAUGACGUCAAAUCAUCAUGCCCCUUAUGACCUGGGCUACACACGUGCUACAAUGGAUGGUACAAAGGGCCGCAAGACCGCGAGGUCAAGCCAAUCCCAUAAAACCAUUCUCAGUUCGGAUUGUAGGCUGCAACUCGCCUACAUGAAGCUGGAAUCGCUAGUAAUCGCGGAUCACCAUGCCGCGGUGAAUACGUUCCCGGGCCUUGUACACACCGCCCGUCACACCACGAGAGUUUGUAACACCCGAAGUCGGUGGAGUAACCGUAAGGAGCUAGCCGCCUAAGGUGGGACAGAUGAUUGGGGUGAAGUCGUAACAAGGUAACC